AUAGAUGUCAAUUAGUUUUCUAACUCCAUUUUUAUUUAGCAACAUUACUACUACGAAUCACAAAAUGAAAAACAUUGAAAGUGAAAGGUUUAGAAAUUAGAAUAGAGAAGAGAAAUAAUUCAAAAAUGUUAGAUCCAACUACCAGAAUGGCGAAAGCAAGAGUUCAAUGAGGGGACUAUCGGGCAUAGGCUAUAGGACCACUUUGAGUAAUUACAAUACAUAAAUGAUGUGUCUUUGCUCUGUAGUUGGUCCCCUACCAUUAUGCACAGAAAUUUAUUGGUGCUGAAUAUGGAACUAAAAAAUGGGCCACAUAUAGAGCUUGAGGGGAAGUGGGUUACCUUCUUUGUUAUUACAUUUACUGCGUGGACGGAGGCAGAUAUAACUAACCAAUAAAAUGACGACACCUAUAUAUAUUGAAAGAAUGUACACAUGUCAUGAUUUAUUCACUAGUAUUUAUGUACGUAAAGAAAAAGCAUUUUGCUAAAAGAUGAUUUGAUUUUAUUUACAGGAUUUGUUACCUCAAAAAUAGCAUGUUGCGGACAAGGACCCUACAAUGGCAUAGGCCUCUGCACAAUUGCAUCAAACUUAUGCCCCAACAGGGAUUUGUACGCGUUUUGGGAUCCGUUCCAUCCAUCGGAGAAAGCCAACAGAAUCAUCGUUCAGCGAA
rnacentral:lncRNA from 1 species